UUCAGAUCGAAGGUCACUGAUACCUUCCGAACGUCCUUGCAUGGAAAGGUUUCAGGAGUAUCUAAUGGUUUUCCGCUUGCUUGCUUUAACUGACCUCCAACGUUUAGCCGUCAAAAUGUCGCCGUGGUUAAAAUUGUAAUCACUGAAUUUUGUCAAAAAUGUUUCGGUUACGCCGCCAUUAAAUAAAGUAAAGUACAUCAUCAUGAUGACCCGUCUUAUUUCCUUUGUCAGUAACUAUGGGUAAAAUAGUAUAACAUAGGAUAAAACUAUUGAAGAAGUCUUACCAAUUUUUAUAUUGUCGAUAGAUGGUAAUAUUAUUUUAUUAAACACUAAUUUUUGUCAAAGCCGAUUGAUAAUACUACCACUUUCAUUUUUUUCAUUUUUUUAUGUUAAUCAUUUUUCCAUAUCUUUUGGUAUGUUCAUUUCAAAAGCGAAACCGACACCUAUAUUGUGUGUUUAUCUGAGAAGACUCUUGAAAAAAAUAAAAUUUACACAAAUUGAUAUUAGAAGAUGUGGUAUGAGUGCCAAUGAAACAACUCUCUAUCCAAGUCACAAUUUGUUAAAGAAAAGCCUUCUAUUUUGUUUAAGGCCGUACGGUGACCUAUAGUUGUUAAUUUCUGUGUCAUUUUGGUCUCUUGUGGAGAGCUGUCUCAUUCAUACCACAUCUUCUUUUUUUUAUAUUCUAGAGCCUUUUUCCUCUCUAUCUAAAUUUCAGAGAGAAAACACUGUAAUUGCUCUUCAGAUUGGCAAAAACAUUGCUACAUAUUAUCACUGAUUCUCUCAUAUUGAACCAACCAUUUGGUUGCUUAGGCUAUCAGAUACACAUCUGAUCAUUAAUAACACCAGUCAACGAACAUAAUCCAAGUUUAUUAAGUGUUUCGUCCUCACCGAUCAAUUCAUUUGUAGAGUUGUCUUCCCUCAAGCCCGAUAAUUAAUUGAUGAUAAAACAAUGAUUGAAAUUGACAUGCUUAGAUGGUAAUUACCGUGUUAGGCGAGAUUGGAAUCAAUUUCAUCCUCCAAUCUGUAGCAAUAAGGGCCUAUCAUUAAGAUUUAAUUGUACGCUAAUUGGUUGAAUAGGAUGCUGGUCGGGAAAUAAGGCGGAUAACUCAAAUUAUUGCAGAAUCAAUUGUUCUUGUCAAUUUCCUAGAGAAUGAAUUAUUGUCAUCGGUUUAAUUGUCAAAGACAAGUUUGAAAUAAUGAAAUAAUAUAAUUCUUAUGUAUAAAAUACAGACUUUGAUCAAAAUGUAAAAAUUACUACAAACCAAAAAAAAAAUAAAAAAAAAAUAACC
rnacentral:lncRNA from 1 species